ACGGACGUCCAUAGCGCGUUGAAUACAGCGGUGCUCUUCCGAUCACCGAAGUUCAGCAACGUCGGGCGCGGUCAGUACUUGGAUGGGUGACCACCGGGAACACCGCGUGACGUUGGCU
rnacentral:rRNA from 1 species